rfam:Cavia porcellus supercont2_31 genomic scaffold, whole genome shotgun sequence.
CUGUGCGUAGCUUUGCCUGCUUUUGACACCAUCAAAAACAGAAAUAAUCUAUAAUAUGCCAUAUUGCAAAAGCAGUUUUUAGGGAUGUCAGUCUUAUAGUAGAGGCUGUGGGGCAGUUUAUGUGUCUAAACAA